rnacentral:tRNA from 1 species
GGGGGUGUAGCUCAGUGGUAGAGCGCUCUUUUCGCAUGUGAGAAUUCCCGGGUUCAAACCCCGGCACUUCCA